UAGGGAAUCUUCUGCAAUGGACGAAAGUCUGACCGAGCAACGCCGCGUGAGUGAAGAAGGUUCUCGGAUCGUAAAACUCUGUUGUUAGAGAAGAACAAGGACGUUAGUAACUGAACGUCCCCUGACGGUAUCUAACCAGAAAGCCACGGCUAACUACGUGCCAGCAGCCGCGGUAAUACGUAGGUGGCAAGCGUUGUCCGGAUUUAUUGGGCGUAAAGCGAGCGCAGGCGGUUUCUUAAGUCUGAUGUGAAAGCCCCCGGCUCAACCGGGGAGGGUCAUUGGAAACUGGGAGACUUGAGUGCAGAAGAGGAGAGUGGAAUUCCAUGUGUAGCGGUGAAAUGCGUAGAUAUAUGGAGGAACACCAGUGGCGAAGGCGGCUCUCUGGUCUGUAACUGACGCUGAGGCUCGAAAGCGUGGGGAGCAAACAGG
rnacentral:rRNA from 1 species